rnacentral:rRNA from 1 species
AUUGAACGCUGGCGGCAUGCCUUACACAUGCAAGUCGAACGGUAACAGGUUAAGCUGACGAGUGGCGAACGGGUGAGUAAUGUAUCGGAACGUGCCCAGUCGUGGGGGAUAACUGCUCGAAAGAGCAGCUAAUACCGCAUACGACCUGAGGGUGAAAGCGGGGGAUCGCAAGACCUCGCGCGAUUGGAGCGGCCGAUAUCAGAUUAGGUAGUUGGUGGGGUAAAGGCCUACCAAGCCUACGAUCUGUAGCUGGUCUGAGAGGACUACCAGCCACACUGGGACGGAGACACGGCCCAGACUCCUACGGGAGGCGGCAGUGGUGAAUUUUGGACAAUGGACGCAAGUCUGAUCCAGCCAUGCCGCGUGCGGGAAGAAGGCCUUCGGGUUGUAAACCGCUUUUGUCAGGGAAGAAAAGGGUGUUUCUAAUAAAGACGCCUCAUGACGGUACCUGAAGAAUAAGCACCGGCUAACUACGUGCCAGCAGCCGCCGUAAGAC